rnacentral:rRNA from 1 species
UACGUAGGGUGCGAGCGUUGUCCGGAAUUAUUGGGCGUAAAGGGCUCGUAGGCGGUUUGUCGCGUCGGGAGUGAAAACACCGGGCUUAACUCGGUGCUUGCUUUCGAUACGGGCAGACUAGAGGUAUGCAGGGGAGAACGGAAUUCCUGGUGUAGCGGUGAAAUGCGCAGAUAUCAGGAGGAACACCGGUGGCGAAGGCGGUUCUCUGGGCAUGACCUGACGCUGAGGCACGAAAGCCAGGGGAGCAAACGGG